UUAAAUUGAAGAGUUUGAUCAUGGCUCAGAUUGAACGCUGGCGGCAGGCCUAACACAUGCAAGUCGAACGGUAACAGGAAACAGCUUGCUGUUUCGCUGACGAGUGGCGGACGGGUGAGUAAUGUCUGGGAAACUGCCCGAUGGAGGGGGAUAACUACUGGAAACGGUAGCUAAUACCGCAUAACGUCGCAAGACCAAAGAGGGGGACCUUCGGGCCUCUUGCCAUCGGAUGUGCCCAGAUGGGAUUAGCUAGUAGGUGGGGUAACGGCUCACCUAGGCGACGAUCCCUAGCUGGUCUGAGAGGAUGACCAGCCACACUGGAACUGAGACACGGUCCAGACUCCUACGGGAGGCAGCAGUGGGGAAUAUUGCACAAUGGGCGCAAGCCUGAUGCAGCCAUGCCG
rnacentral:rRNA from 1 species